rnacentral:rRNA from 1 species
CCGUAGAGAUACGGUGUCCGCAAGGGUUCUACACAGGCGGUGCAUGGCUGUCGUCAGCUCGUGUCGUGAGAUGUUGGGUUAAGUCCCCGCAACGAGCGCAACCCUUGUCCUAUGUUGCCAGCACGUAAUGGUGGGGACUCGUAGGAGACUGCCGGGGUCAACUCGGAGGAAGGUGGGGACGACGUCAAGUCAUCAUGCCCCUUAUGUCCAGGGCUGCAAACAUGCUACAAUGGCCGAUACAAAGGCCUGCGAGACUGCGAAGUUGAGCGAAUCCCAAAAAGUCGGUCUCAGUUCGGAUCGGAGUCUGCAACUCGACUCCGUGAAGUUGGAGUCGCUAGUAAUCCCGGAUCAGCAACGCCGGGGUGAAUACGUUCCCGGGCCUUGUACACACCGCCCGUCACACCACGAAAGUCGCA